rnacentral:rRNA from 1 species
UGCAAGUCGAGGGGCAUCAGGAAGAAAGCUUGCUUUCUUUGCUGGCGACCGGCGCACGGGUGAGUAACACGUAUCCAACCUGCCCUUUACUCGGGGAUAGCCUUUCGAAAGAAAGAUUAAUACCCGAUGGCAUAGUUCUUCCGCAUGGUGGAACUAUUAAAGAUUUAUCGGUGUACGAUGGGGAUGCGUUCCAUUAGGCAGUUGGCGGGGUAACGGCCCACCAAACCGACGAUGGAUAGGGGUUCUGAGAGGAAGGUCCCCACAUUGGUACUGAGACACGGACCAAACUCC